GCCGGGCACAGUGGCUUAUGCCUGUAAUCCCAGCACUUUGGGAGGCUGAGGUGGGUGGAUCACUUGAGGUCAGGAAUUUGAGACCAGCCUGGCCAACACAGUGAAACCCCAUCUCUA
rfam:Gorilla gorilla gorilla genomic chromosome, chr12, whole genome shotgun sequence